CAAGAAAUAUACCACCAUACAUACAUACACACACUACACAUACAUACAUACAUACAUACAUACACAAAUGCAUACACGUUUUUACUUCUUUAUGUAUACACACCAUGCAGCCACAUAUACACACACACCACACAUAUUCUACACAAUACACUCCCCACACACAUCACACAUAUACAUACCAUACACAUGCAUCAUCUAUAUACACUACACACAUGCACACUCACACAUAGGCACACCUUUCAACUUCUUUAGGUAAACACAUAUAUACCACACACAUAAACAUACACAGUUACACCAUACAUAUACACACACCAUAAACACACACAGGUACACACACACAAACACAUACCCUUGAUAACCACAUAGGUAGUGUAAUGGACACCGGUUAGGAAGCAUGGGUUUGUAAUCCCAGUACAGCUCACUCUUGUGAACGUGCAUCCUUUGAGAUCUGUAUAACUUCAGUUACAUUAAAACACUUUUUAUUAAGAUAGAAUUAAGAUACUAUAAAACUCACCCUUUUGAAGCAUACAACUUACCAUUGUUGUCUAAUUUCAAAACAUUUCUAAAGAGAAAUCCCUAGCCACAUUAAGUGACUUAAUCUCAUCCCCCUCCCUCUACCCGCUGGCAGUCAUUGGUUUCCUCUCUGGAUGUCAUGCUGCACAUCAGUGGAGUCCUGUAGUCGACAGCCUUUGUGCCUGGUGGCUCAUGCUCAGAACAGUUUCCAAGUUCAUGCGUAACCGCAGCAGUAGCACCCACCACCCCUCACGUCACUAGCAGUAGUUUAUUGAGUGGCUAUACAACAUUUGCUUGUUUUUCUUCAGUUGAUGGUCACUUGGGAAAUUUCCACUUCUUCCUUUUACAUCUAAAAGAUGUUUAAUUUUAUUGUGUGUAUAUGAAUGCAUGCACACAUAGGUGUGCAUGUGUGCUACUGCCUGCCUGGAAGGCCAGAGGACAGCUUUAGGAGUUGACUCUCCUUCCACCAAGUGCCCCCAGGGAUCAAUUCAGGUGAUCCAGUUCGCUGGGAGUGAGGUGUCAGGUGAUCCAGCUCGCUGGGAGUGAGGUGUCAGGUCCUGUGGCAACUCUUAAUUUUUGAGGAAGUGUCAAUCUGUUCUAGUCUGUCAGUGCUCAAAUCAUUUGCAGUUACUGUAAGUACUAAAGAAAUACUGCAACGCAACGAGAAAAACACCAGUCACUCUUUAAAAAAAAAAAAA